rnacentral:misc_RNA from 1 species
UACGUAGGAGGCAAGCGUUGUCCGGAAUUAUUGGGCGUAAAGCGCGCGCAGGCGGCCUCGAAAGUCUGAAGUGAAAGCCCCCGGCUCAACCGGGGAGCGGCAUUGGAAACUGGGAGGCUUGAGUAUAGGAGAGAAGAGUGGAAUUCCACGUGUAGCGGUGAAAUGCGUAGAGAUGUGGAGGAACACCAGUGGCGAAGGCGGCUCUUUGGCCUAUAACUGACGCUGAGGCGCGAAAGCGUGGGGAGCAAGCAUG